UUUAUUGCAUAAACAUAUAAUCAAGAUAGCCAAAUAGAGAAUUUGGCCGGUAGAUGUCUCUAAAUAUACUCAGUAGCAUGAGUCUCUUAGUUUUACAUACUCAUUUCCAAUUCAGAGAGAAAAUAUUGUUACUUACAUACUUUUGUCUACAAGGAAACAGAGAAAAAAGAAAAGGGAGAGAAGAAGAAGAAAAGAAAUUAACUUUGAAUAUUAUGUGUUGUUGACUCAAAGCACUUGAAACUGCCUUGAUUAUUAUUACUACUUGUUAUUUCUAAUACCUAUUUGAUAUAUAUAUCUUACCGUCUAUUUUUAACCGUGUAUUUUGUAGUAAACAUGUUUAUUAUGCUCAAGAAGUAUUUAGUCGUCGUAAUUAACUUCAAGAGUCUCUUCGUCUCACUGUUAUAAAUAAGUUUUUGUAAAAAGGAUUUCACCAUUUUCAUUCCAUUGCAUUCAAGAGUGACGCCAAGGAUUAUACUCUUACAAAACUGUAACACUUUCACAGCAUAUUACGCAAUUAAUCUCUCUGGUCCAUUGUCUACACAAAGUGAUACUUUAUUCCUCACUCUUCAUUGAAAACACGACCCUCGAAUCCAAUUUUCUUUUUUAGUAGCCAUAAUUAAGGGUGAAGAAACAAGAUCUGAAAAUGAAAGAACGGGAAAGAUGCGUAACUGUGGGAUACCCAAAUGGAGUGGAGAAAUGAAUAUUGCUCCUGAAGUUGCUACAUGUACAUAGUCUGAAUAUAUAUUUUUCCAAAUGCAAAAACAGGACAAAGAUAUUCUAAAGUUCUUUACAAGAUUUUACGGAUAAAAUACACUAGAACAAUAGUAAAUUUAAGCCACAUGUCAAUCAGGAUCUUCUAGUAUUCUAAGAAUAAUAUUUAAAUUUUAUCACAAAGUUUAGUGUUCCAUAUGUUUUAUCAAGCAAAGUCAAGUACCAUCAGCGGGCCGGAUGAACUGACUUAGGAGGCCGGAUUUGGUUGCGGGCCGUAGUUUGGUCACUCCUACUUCCGACAAAUAGACGCAUAGCUUCCCAACUGCUAUAACAUGGAAACAUCUUAAAGAUGUCAUUGAAAGAUUAAUUUCGAGGAAGAGUUGAAAAA
rnacentral:lncRNA from 1 species